rnacentral:ncRNA from 1 species
CAGAGUAGGGACUGGCGCGUUAAGUGCUGUGGGAUGGGAAGUUGUCCACGGACGAAACACGUUGUGUGCGGUGCCGGUCUCGCUUCCGCUGC